CGGAGUGAUGAUGCCGAGAGAAUUAGGAAGUGCCGUCAGAUGCGAGAACUGACGAGACUGCCAUCUCCGUCUGACC